rnacentral:lncRNA from 1 species
GCCUGAGAAGCAGGUGAUCCUCAUUGGCAAGGCUCAGUUAGGACAUCUCUAACGAGAAAAGGAGGAAGACUAGAAGUAUCUCCACAUCCACUGACCAAGGGAUGCAUCCUGUCUAUUUUCACACCAUAAAACAGCAAGAGGAGGGCUUCGUUGCUCCACACGGGAAUUUAAUAUUCUUUGAUGCUGUAUUGACGGAAUUUAGCUCUUCCCUCCAGCAGACCAUGCCAUCCUUCUGACCCUGGACAGCAAGGGUCCCUGGCUUCUGCAUCCAGUCCAGCAAGGCCUAGGAUGAAGACUUGAUUCUUUCUCCUACCAAAAUUAAGUGCUUCCUUCUUCUCUUUCCUUGCCAUGGAAAGGCUUUCACAGACCACCCUGACUUUUGGAGAGAAAAGAACAUCUGAACUGAGUGCUGCCUCAAGAAUCUUUCCCCACCAUGCGGAACCCUUCACCCGAAGGUACUUCCUGAGCCUCACCAGCCAAUGGCCCCAGAAAGACAGCAGCUGUAAUAUCCUUGCCCUGGAUUAUCCUACUUGAGAUGUACAAACAAAAACCUAUCAGAAUGUAACCAUCUUUCAUGCUCAACACGAGCCCCUGAAUGGGCGCUUCCAUGACAACUCUGCCUUCGUGGACCACCGUCUCCUCUGCAGUCCUAUAGCAAUGAUGCUCUGCGUCCCUAAGUUAAUGCUUAAUCAGAUCCUGUGUCAAACUGAUGCCUGUUGCUCUGUGUGGGGUACUCUUGUCUUGCCAAUUGCCUUAGCAUUUGCCUGAGGGCUAUGCAGAUGUAGCUAGUUCUUGGAGUCUUCGCUGACUCUCUCCCUCCUUCCCUCAUAAAGAAUAAAGCAAACCCUCUCUGUGAUCCUCUCCCA